rnacentral:rRNA from 1 species
UACGUAGGGGGCUAGCGUUGUCCGGAAUCAUUGGGCGUAAAGCGCGCGUAGGCGGCCAGAUAAGUCCGGUGUGAAAGUCACAGGCUCAACCUGUGAAUGCCGCUGGAAACUGUCUGGCUAGAGUCCGGAAGGGGCGAGUGGAAUUCCUGGUGUAGCGGUGAAAUGCGCAGAUAUCAGGAGGAACACCGGUGGCGAAGGCGCUCUGCUAGGCCGUAACUGACACUGAGGGACGAAAGCUAGGGGAGCGAAUGGG